rnacentral:rRNA from 1 species
CCCGCCGGCGACCGGCGCACGGGUGAGUAACACGUAUGAAACCUGCCCGUAGCAGGGGGAUAAGCGGAAGAAAUUCCGUCUAAUACCGCGUAACAACCCAUGGAGGCAUCUCUGUGGGUUUAAAGGAAGCGAUUCCGGCUACGGAUGGUCAUGCGUCGCAUUAGCUUGUUGGCGGGGUAACGGCCCACCAAGGCGACGAUGCGUAGGGGUUCUGAGAGGAAGGUCCCCCACACUGGUACUGAGACACGGCCCAGACUCCUACGGAAGGCAGCAG